AGAGUUUGAUCCUGGCUCAGAACGAACGCUGGCGGCGUGCUUAACACAUGCAAGUCGAACGCGAACGGUUUCUUCGGGAACCUAGUAGAGUGGCGCACGGGUGAGUAACGCGUAAGUUAUCUACCCUCCCAUCUGGAAUAACUCACCGAAAGGUGUGCUAAUACCGGAUACGUUGAUUUAUCAAGAAAGGUGGCCUCUAUUUAUAAGCUACCGUGGGGGGAUGAGCUUGCGUACCAUUAGCUAGUUGGUAGGGUAAUGGCCUACCAAGGCAACGAUGGUUAGCGGGUCUGAGAGGAUGAUCCGCCACACUGGAACUGGAACACGGACCAGACUCCUACCGGGAGGCAGCAGUGAGGAAUAUUGCGCAAUGGGGGAAACCCUGACGCAGCGACGCCGCGUGGAUCAUGAAGGCCUUUGGGUCGUAAAAUCCUGUCAGAUGGAAAGAAAUGCUAUAAUGCUAAUAUCGUUAUAGUAUGACGGGUACCAUCAAAGGAAG
rnacentral:rRNA from 1 species